rnacentral:lncRNA from 1 species
GACUUGUCUAUCUCAGCCCUGCAGGUUUAAAAUAGCAAUUCUGAGGCCAUACAACAGCUUGGGCUUAUAUGGGCUCAUGGGAGGGGGAGAAGAGUUGAACAAGGGGCUGUGACCCACGCUGCCGAAAUAGCAAGCAAGUGUUCGCAUUCCAAACCCUGCCACACUCGCAUUCCUCCAAUCAGGCGUCUGGCCUGGGGGUGGGCUUCGGAGCCCUGUUAAAGCCUCACUCUUCCCAGCUGCAUUUCUCAGACACUGCCAGCUUCCACUUGGCUGCGAGGGACCGCACCUUUUCCCUGGGCGAGAGCUAACUGAAAAUGUCGGACGUUGAAGACAUCAUCGAAGAAUAUGAAGAGGAACAGGAAGGUAAGAGGAAGAGAAGCCUCUUUCUGCACAUCAGGACAGACUGAAGCGUUAAGACGAUCCGUAUAACCUCAAUAACCUGCUCAAUCUCUCUCCCUCCCUUUCUCUUCCCCCUUCCUGCAGAGGAGUGUAUUGAAGAAG